GACGUAGGAUGCAAGCGUUGUCCGGAUUUAUUGGGCGUAAAGAGUUCGUAGGUGGUUUGUUAAGUCUGAUGUUAAAGACUGGGGCUCAACCUCGGAAAUGCAUUGGAUACUGGCAGACUUGAGUGCAGUAGAGGCAAGCGGAAUUCCAGGUGUAGCGGUGAAAUGCGUAGAUAUCUGGAAGAACACCGGUGGCGCAAGCGGCUUGCUGGGCUGUAACUGACGCUGAGGCACGAAAGUGUGGGGAUCAAACAGG
rnacentral:rRNA from 1 species